GGGGUGCGUAACGCGUGGGAAUCUACCUUGUAGUGGGGGAUAGCCCGGAGAAAUCCGGAUUAAUACCGCAUAAUCUCUACGGAGCAAAGUGGGGGAUCUUCGGACCUCACGCUAUUAGAUGAGCCCGCGUUAGAUUAGCUUGUUGGUGAGGUAAUGGCUCACCAAGGCUACGAUCUAUAGCUGGUUUGAGAGGAUGAUCAGCCACACUGGGACUGAGACACGGCCCAG
rnacentral:rRNA from 1 species